rnacentral:tRNA from 1 species
GGGGAUGUGGCUCAGUGGUAGAGUGCUCGCCUAGCAUGUGUAAGGCCCUGGGUUCAAUUCUCAGCACCA